ACGAAGUCGGCAGGAAAGACCUGCAAUGGCCCAAUUCCUCUUCUUCCUUUGAACUGUAAAACUGAAGAUGGGAUCUUGGUCUGAGUGGAAGGGACACUAAGCUCAGAGAAUUCCUGCCCCUGCUUUGCCUUGGGCUGCCGUGACAAAGUGCUACACACCAAGUGGCUUAAAACAACAGAAAACUAUUCUCUCACAGUUUUGGAGGCCAGAAGUCCAAGAUCAAGGUGCCAGCAGAGUUGGUUCCUUCUGAGGGCUCUGAGGCUCCCAGGGAGAAUCUGUUCCAGGCUCUCCUCACUUCUGGGGAUGGCAGGCAGUCCUUGGGUUCCUUAUUUGCAGAUGCUUUGCUGCAAUCCCUCAUGUCUUCACAUGGCCAUCUUCCCUCUAUGUCUGUCUCCAUAGCUCUCCACCUCUUCUUAUGGGGACACCAGUCAUACUGAAUUAUGGGACCAGCCUACUCCCAAAUAAUGCAAUUCCAAAUAAGUUCACAUUCACAGGUACUGGGGGUUAGGACUUGAACAUACCUUUCUGGAGGACGCAAAUAAUCAUUAUUCCACAGAUAGGUCUAUGAUGCAAAGCAAGCCAGUCCAGUUCUGUCAGGAAGUUUCUCAAACUGGCAUUGAGACACAGAUAAAUUUUGGUCCUCUGAGUCAUGGUUAAGAAAAUUCCAAGUGUUUAGCAGCUGUGUCCCAGGAACCAGGACAAAGACCAAAUGUAUAUUUAUCAUAAAUCACAGUAUCACAUUAGUUUUUAGGGAGCUGUGGUUUCUAGUGUUCCCACUCCUUCCUAUCUCAGUGGAAGGUGUAGCACCUAACGAGGCUGGAUGUUGUUCAGAGCAGGUAGCUGUAGGGUAGAUGACAGCUGUCUGCCAAGGACCUGCCAAAGAAUAUAAGCAUGUCAGUGGUCAGUGUCUGUAAAGAGUCAGCCAAAAGACAGACACUUAAUAAUUGAUGGGUUUUUAUUGUACUUCUUUACUGAGAAAUAUGCUUUUUUCAAGUUAUCCUGCAUUCCCCUCAAUGAUGGUUUCCUCUGUGUGGCCAGUCUUCCUUGUCUGCAUCCACUGUGGUCCCUUGUUAGGAAAGAGGGGCAAGUUCUAAGGGAUCAAAUGCACAGCAUGGAGACUGUAGUUGAUAAUUCUGUGUUCUCAUCACAGACACACAUGAACGCACACACAAAGGGUAACUCUGUGAGCUGAUGGAUGUGUUAACUGGCUUGAUUGUGGUAAUCAUUCUAUAUAUGUAUAUAUAUAUCAUCAUGUUGUGUAACUUAAGUAUAUACAGUUUAUUCGUCAAAGAAAGAGAACCUCUCCCUCACUUUUACACCCUAUUCUCCAGUAGGGUUUCACAAGGCAAAAUGAACUAAAGGCACCUAUGUGCUUACUUAAAAAAAAGAGGGGGAAUCACUGUUUUGAGCAGAAUACUGGCUGUACCAGAGCUGAGACAACAUGAGUCUAAAAGCAGGUUUGUGGGGGAGGGGGGACUAAAAAGAGACCAGGAGACCUAGGACCCCCUGACCACCCAGAUGAUGAUUUCUACCUACAAAUCCCAGCCACUGUCACUACAAGUUUGGCCUCAGUGCACCGUCAGACCCCUACCUCCUUUCUUCUUGGUGAAACUUGGGGGGGUCCAUGUUGUGAGCUGACCCCUGAGUUUAAACAAGGGCCAGGUGUUCUGAGACAUUCUCGCACCUACAGAAAUUCUAGCUUCACGUCUUGACAGACCCCAAGACUGGUUUCCCAUAUUUCCAUCGAAGGAAUGACCUUCCUAUCCCAGAAUGAAAUACAUAGAAUGGAACAAAGGAGAGGUAGGGUCUGAUGUUUGUAAAGAUCAAAGCCACAUGUGGGAAGAGCAUUUAGGACCAUGAAUGUCUUGAACUCCUUGUGAAAAGAAGAACUUGGUCAGAGAGAGCGACUUCUGUCUGUUUGAAUCAGGGAGGAAACCCUCCGCUCACACUCCACAGUAAAAUAACCAUUGUGUUAUUUAAGUGGCAAGAGUGAAAAGUGCAGUCAUAAAAAGCAGGAGAGGAAAAUAUAGGUAAAUGUGCAAUGAUGUCUAGAUGGUGAAAGAAAGCCUGAUCAUGAAAGCAACAUGAUAAAUCAGAAAAGGUUGCUGGAAUUUUGUACAUAAUCAUAACUCCUGAAUGAGAGACAAUGGGACAUAAGUAA